rnacentral:rRNA from 1 species
UACGUAGGGUGCAAGCGUUAAUCGGAAUUACUGGGCGUAAAGCGUGCGCAGGCGGUGAUGCAAGACAGAUGUGAAAUCCCCGGGCUCAACCUGGGAACUGCAUUUGUGACUGCAUCGCUGGAGUACGGCAGAGGGGGAUGGAAUUCCGCGUGUAGCAGUGAAAUGCGUAGAGAUGCGGAGGAACACCGAUGGCGAAGGCAGCCCCCUGGGCCAACACUGACGCUCAGGCACGAAAGCGUGGGGAGCAAACAGG